GGGGGCGCACUGGUUUCGACGGGGAUGGGAAGCCGAGGUUGCAGGUCGAGGCGCCGCUGGCCUCGUAAAAAGCGGCAACAAAAGUAAUUGCCAACAACGAUUACGAAUACGCCUACGCCGCCUAACAAGGCGCGUGGCGACUGAUCGCUCGACGAUCACGCUGAACCGGCUGACGCCCGAUGCGCCGGGGAGGUGUAACGCCAUCGGGCUAGCGGCCGGCUGUGUUCGCCGGGACGGCUUGCGAAAUUAUACGGGGGACUGGCGCAGGUUCGCCCUGACCGGGGGCAAAAGCCAUGCGCGAGAAUUAUUCCCGGUCUAAACCUGUAGAUGCUUUGAUGUGGAAUAUUCUCGGACGGGAGUUCGAUUCUCCCCGCCUCCACCA
rnacentral:sRNA from 1 species